GUCAUUUUCUUUAAAUUCAAGUAAUCUUCUAAAUUAAGUAACAAUCAUUUCAAUCUCCCUGAUAACCAUGAAUCUCAAAUAAAGAGAUGAUUUGUACCACAAGUAAUAUGAAAAAUAAACCUAAAUAAUCAUCAAAUAAUAUCUACCUCGAACAUAGAACCCAAAGUACAAGAACAUUUCGAGAUUUCCAUAGGAUGUGUGAUCAGUACAUAAAGUUUUGUGAACAUCACCCUUCGUUGUUUUGUGAACCAAAC
rnacentral:lncRNA from 1 species